GGACUGGAAGGCCUGGGGACCACACCCAGUACAACCGCCGACUCCUUGUUGACCCUAGAAAAGCGGCUUUUUCCGCCCAGGCUUUCGAGUCCCCGUCUAGAAGAGGGUGAGGAGAGGCGGAGAGGGUGGGCGGCAGGGUCGUUGGGGCCUCUGAUACACACGCAGGCCUCCCCCUCCCUCUCUCUCCCCACCCCCCGCCCCUGCACACGCACCGCACCUCCCAUCUCCCUUUUCGUUUCUUAAAUAACACAAACACACCACCUCCAACACACAAACCUCAAAUUACCGCCGUGAGGCCUCCCCAGACGUCGGCUCCCGAGACCGGCAGUGUGGCCCAACCACGGCAACACGACACUCCCCCCAGCUCCCACUCAAUACAAAACACAUGUGUCCCGGGGCCUCGCGGGACGGCCUCCCCCGCAACCAACACGGGACGGCGUGGAGCCGCAACAACCUGCCGCCGGGCCCGGGGCCCCGGGGGCGGGCUCGACGUCCUCUCAGCACCUAGUAAAUCGUCUCGGCUCCGCAGAAGCCGGCCGCGCGCUCCCUUGGGUGCCGCAGACACAGCUGCAGAUGCGAGUGGGAGGCAGGAAGGGAGCGGCCCAAGUUCAAGGAGAAGAGAAGGGAAGGGGGGGGCGGGAGGGCCGCAUUCCGACUCGGGUGAAAAUCCGCCCUGGGGAGUCAGAGCCGGGGCAGUCCCCGACGCUGCGCCCGCCCUGUCCCCUCCUAGGUGGCCCCGAGAAGAAUGUCCCAUCUCUGCCAUCUCCCUCCAGCUGUCUGGGCUUUUUCAGUACCUCUCACUUGUCCGGGGCAUCUGCUCCAGCCAAAAAAUAGAUCUCGGGCAUUCGGGAUGGAAAAGGGUAUUAAGUGGCAAAAGCCAGCACCGCGCCAAGGGUGUGGGCAGCCCCGCUAUCUCUGACGGCCACGUGUCCUGGAUCUGCUCCGAGGGUCUUAAUCUAAAACAUUCUGGUCUCGGGUCCCCAGAAGUGCCCUCACACUUGUCGGACCACGUGUCCCUGCUCGGGGCUUGGAAAAUACAGUCACCACGCGGACGCCCGACAGCCGGCGCCCAGCAGCCCAGUGCCGCCGCCGCGGGGGGGAAGGAGGACGGAUGCUGGAGCCCAUGGACCUGGGGCCGGCCGGCGCCGCCGCUUGCCCUCUGCAGCCUUUACUCUCCCGAAGCCUCGGUUCCGUCACCAUCAGCUUCCCUGGACACAGGUGCCUGGAAUGCGCCUACACGGCCGCUGAAAUAUCCGUCACUACGUCCAGGUUUUAUGCUCAAGCUGAAAGCAUCCCCGUGCGUCCCAGCAGCGUCCACACCGUCCAGUGGCCGCGCUGCGCCAGCCGCUCACCACCCCCGCACCUCGCAGCCAAUCCCGGUUGGACUCCUCUCCGCUUUAUAGGUCAGCAACUCGAGACUUAGAGAGGACGGUAGGUAACGUGCCCGAGGCCGCACGCCCGGUGCCCGAGACCGAGCCACAGGCAGGCUGCUCCUGCGGGUCGUGCGGCCAGAGGGGCAGAUACCGCACCCGGGACCCGGAGUCACUGAGCGCAGGGACACGGGAGGAGGCCGCCUGCUGUAUGCCCGACAAGUCGUCGGAGGGAGGAGAAGGCGUGUGGGUCAUGAGCUGCACGUGCUGCAAAUGCCUUGGAGGGAACAGGAAUUGGGGUUUUCAGAAGCUGGGGUGGGCGAGGGCUGCCCCCGGCCUCAGGAUGGACAUCGAUGGACACGCAGGAGCCGGGCGCAGAGGUGGGAAGACGCCCAUCCAGUGCGGAGAGGCACUGGAGGGCUCAGUACCCAGGGUCAAGGCCUGGGGGACCCCAAGGACACAGGACCCCAAGGAACAGGACCUCUGGGAGCAGGAGGCUGAGUUAGGGCACAGCCUGGUUUACCCCAAUGUCCAUGUGCCAGGAUGGGGCACGGGAAGGGGCCUGGGGCAGGGACUCCACAAGGGCACCUGGAGGGUGUCAGGGCCUGGGGGGCAGUGGCCCGGCUUGCGGAGGUCAUGGAGGUCACACUGGGGCUCCGGCAGGUGACCUGGGAGAGGCCCCCGCAUGGCUGGAGCUGGACUGGGUGGUUUGGGGACCCCACAGAGCCGGGCGCUGGGCUGGAGCGGGGCCCUCGGGCGAUGUGGGUGCGGGUGCGGGUGGGGGUGCGGGUGGGGGUGGGGGUGCAGGCCACCUGGGCCGGGGCACUGCUGCUGGCCUGGGGGGUCAGCCCGCAGGUCACUGGGCCCC
rnacentral:lncRNA from 12 species